UGCGUGGUGCUGCUUUGGUACUGAGAU
rnacentral:piRNA from 1 species